GAUGAACGCUGGCGGCGUGCUUAACACAUGCAAGUCGAACGGAAAGGCUCCUGCUUGCAGGGGUACUCGAGUGGCGAACGGGUGAGUAACACGUGGGUGAUCUGCCCUGCACUUCGGGAUAAGCCUGGGAAACUGGGUCUAAUACCGGAUAGGACGAUGGUUUGGAUGCCAUUGUGGAAAGUUUUUUCGGUGUGGGAUGAGCUCGCGGCCUAUCAGCUUGUUGGUGGGGUAAUGGUCUACCAAGGCGUCGACGGGUAGCUGGCCUGAGAGGGUGUACGGCCACAUUGGGACUGAGAUACGGCCCAGACUCCUACGGGAGGCAGCAGUGGGGAAUAUUGCACAAUGGGCGCAAGCCUGAUGCAGCGACGCCGCGUGGGGGAUGACGGCCUUCGGGUUGUAAACUCCUUUCGCUAGGGACGAAGCGCAAGUGACGGUACCUGGAGAAGAAGCACCGGCUAACUACGUG
rnacentral:rRNA from 1 species